rnacentral:rRNA from 1 species
ACAUNGUUUAACGGCCGCGGUACCCUAACCGUGCGAAGGUAGCGUAAUCACUUGUUCUUNAAUUGAGGACUAGUAUGAAUGGCUUAACGAAGACUAUACUGUCUCCUUUUUCUAAUCAAUGAAACUAAUCUCCCCGUGAAGAAGCGGGGAUAAAUUUAUAAGACGAGAAGACCCUAUGGAGCUUUAAACAACCGAAAUAUCUGCUUUUCAACUCUAUUUACCUCCCGAGAAUUAAAUUUACUCUAAGCACUUUAAUUUCUAGUUUAGGUUGGGGUGACCACGGAGCAAAAAUUAACCUCCACGCUGAAAUUUGAGCCCACUUCUUAGCUUUAAAAUCACAAUUUUAAACAUCAACAUAUUGACUUCCAUUGACCCAAUUUUUUGACCAACGAACCAAGUUACCCUAGGGAUAACAGCGCAAUCUACUUCAAGAGUUCUUAUCGACAAGUAGGCUUNCGACCUCGAAUGUUGGAUCAGGGUAUCCUAGUGGUGCAGCCGCUA